AUACGUAGGGGGCAAGCGUUGUCCGGAAUGAUUGGGCGUAAAGGGCGCGUAGGCGGCCUGGUAAGUCUGGAGUGAAAGUCCUGCUUUUAAGGUGGGAAUUGCUUUGGAUACUGUCGGGCUUGAGUGCAGGAGAGGUAAGCGGAAUUCCCGGUGUAGCGGUGAAAUGCGUAGAGAUCGGGAGGAACACCAGUGGCGAAGGCGGCUUACUGGACUGUAACUGACGCUGAGGCGCGAAGGUGUGGGGAGCAAACAGGAUUAGAUACCCUGGUAGUCCACACUGUAAACGAUGAAUGCUAGGUGUAGGGGGUAUCGACCCCUUCUGUGCCGGAGUCAACACAAUAAGCAUUCCGCCUGGGGAGUACGGCCGCAAGGUUGAA
rnacentral:rRNA from 1 species